UACGAAGGGGGCUAGCGUUGCUCGGAAUCACUGGGCGUAAAGCGCACGUAGGCGGAUUGUUAAGUCAGGGGUGAAAUCCUGGAGCUCAACUCCAGAACUGCCUUUGAUACUGGCGAUCUCGAGUCCGGGAGAGGUGAGUGGAACUGCGAGUGUAGAGGUGAAAUUCGUAGAUAUUCGCAAGAACACCAGUGGCGAAGGCGGCUCACCUGGCCCGGUACUGACGCUGAGGGUGCGAA
rnacentral:rRNA from 1 species